ensembl:lncRNA
GCCGCCCCGCUCCGACCCCCGCCGCCCGCUGGGCCCAGCCCGCGGCGAGUGUCCCCGUGCGUUUUCCAGCCCGAAGCGAGUUGGCAGAAGGUCCUUCUGAGCCGAGAACGUGGCGAACGCGCAAGGGAAAUGGGCGAGGGGAAUGGCCGGUCCCCACCGAUCGUUGCCGACCGCAAGCACCAGACUCGCAUCUGACAACUGGCUGUGUUUGCGGUGUAGGGAAGGCCCCACUGAGGCCUCGCUGGCAUGAGGGUCGAAGGAAGACAGCUGAGCUCCUGACUUUCUUGGGGCCGGCAUUAAUUACUCCGUGCAACUUGCCACCGAGUAUCUCAUUUGGGGUGUCCCAUGGGGAGCUGCGCAAAUAAGGUGCCUUGUAGUCAACUGCCAACUUGAUGGACUGGAUGCCUCGCUGUGCCAAGUCAGACAUGAAGAGUCACUCCUUCAAGAGCAGAUUCUGCAAGGUGGCGUUUCUGGUCUUAAAAGGUAGAAGGGUGGGACAAAACCAGUCAGACCAAGCUCAGGACAAGAGCCGUACCACACAGAGGCUUUCAUUCUGGUGUUUCUUACCCUGCUCUGCACCAGGAAGCCUUACUCUACUGCGGAACAGUACAAGUCAAAGCAGAGUUCAUCGCAUUUGUGUAGUCAACCCACACACUGACUCAACCAAGUCUUGAUCAAGUUACCUCUUGUUUUUGCGGGUUUGUUGUUGUUGUUGUUUGUUUGUUUUAUUUUUUUGUUUUGCCAAAGGAUUUGCAAAGCAUUUCUGGAAAAUGAAGAUGCUCCUCGGUAUUCCACUUUGAUAAACAAGUUUUGAACCGUUGUUCAGCAGGUGUCCAUUUAGAAAACGUUGACCUGUUUGUGAGACUUGCAUAAGUUAUACAGAAAGAGAUGGAAGCUCUUUUAGUGAACGUGGUUUACCUGUUCAUUCUUAGUGGCACAUUGUUUGCUUCCUCCAGGUCAAUGUUCUUCUUCUAGAUGACUGAAAAUCUUAUCUGAUGCUGGACUGCCAGACAGACACUAUUUGCAUAAAUAAAAUACCUGUCACCUUUCAUACUUUCAUACUUCCGUAAUUUCCAACUAGUCUAUGGGAAGUUCAGAGCAGAUCUAUGUUUAAACAGCUUCUGGAGAUCUUCAAGAGUUGGGCUUAGACUAAGUGUCGCCUUGACCUAAGCAUUUAUUCACAGUUUCUGGGAUGUGUUCUGAAUCCUUUCUGGGCUGUACUCAGCAUACCAUCAUUGUUGUACUCAUCUUCUGAAGGACAGCUCUUUAAGUGUCUAAGUCCGGACCAGAGAACAGUGGCUGUUCAUCUUCCAGUCUGUAUUCAAAGAAUUUGUCAUGUGGAACACAUCAAGAAAACUGAAGAUGGUGUCACAGAAGAAAUUUUCCUGCUUCUGCAUGAAACA